GCCAGGGGCUCGGGCAGUGUGGGCUGAGCCCAAUGUGCGAAGACGGGCCUGCAGUGGAGGAAGCUUUUGCAGGUCAAAAACAUGUGUUUGGGAAACCUUCCUUGUGCUCUUGGCUUGGGAAUCUCACUCCUUCUGUGAAUCACUUCUUCUUGCAGCCUUGGUGUUUUCUCUACUUCAUCUUGGAGUCCUGUGAACCCCUAGUGCGCAUUCUGCUUCCUGCUGGGCUGGCUGCUGGCAGCCGCCCAUCUGUGCCAUCCGUGAGGCAGACAGAGGGACAGACAGGGAGCCUGCAGGGCAGUGACUCCCCUCCUGAGAGAAGGCCCUGCCCGGAUCUGCCAGGUUCUAAACACCUGGCAUGGGGCAGAGGAGAGAUGUCUUGACUGAUAGCAGAAGUGCCAAAUGCUUCUUGGUCCUGCCAUGAAACGCCUGUGCCGCCUCAAACUUCAGCUUCCACCCUAAGAAACAGGACAUCUGGCCUAGAUGGUGCGAAGGGCUCUGUGAGCUUCGUGCUCCUGAGGGAAGGGCUGGGAUGGCAGAGGGAGGCUGAGCCCUGUCCUUCGAGGUUGCCCCCAGAUCUGGCCCUGCCCUCCGACAGGGUUUGAGGCGGUGGCAGCUACUGGUUAAUGGGGACCAGAUGCAGCCCUGUCCCUGGCCGUGCUCGGCCGCCUUCCUGCUCCAAGGACUUGGGGCUCUUUGAAACUCUGUGGAGUGUGGCUUCGGAGCCCAGAGUGGAAACCGCAGCUCCAUUCUGUGAGCACAUGUGAUCUCCCUGGGCGGAGAGAGUGACUGGCCUCAGGAAAGGAGAGGCGAGGUGGAGGCCACUGGCUCUCUGGAGAAUGCUUUUGCCUCCCUGCUUAGGACGGUGUCUGGGAGCCCCAGGGAGGAACGGGGCAGACGCACCGGAGAAGCCCCCAGCCCCAACGUUCCUGCUGAAAACACUGAACCUGAAUCUAGUCCUGAGGAAACAUCAGAUGAAUCAAUAGAGUGACCUUGUGCAAACACUUGGCCUGGACUUUUCAAACAUGC
rnacentral:lncRNA from 1 species